UCGGGAAUUUUGGGCAAUGGGCGAAAGCCUGACCCAGCAACGCCGCGUGAAGGAUGAAGUAUUUCGGUAUGUAAACUUCGUAAGAAUAGGAAGAAUAAAUGACGGUACUAUUUGUAAGGUCCGGCUAACUACGUGCCAGCAGCCGCGGUAAUACGUAGGGACCAAGCGUUGUUCGGAUUUACUGGGCGUAAAGGGCGCGUAGGCGGCGUGACAAGUCACUUGUGAAAUCUCUGGGCUUAACCCAGAACGGCCAAGUGAUACUGUCGCGCUAGAGUGCAGAAGGGGCAAUCGGAAUUCUUGGUGUAGCGGUGAAAUGCGUAGAUAUCAAGAGGAACACCUGAGGUGAAGACGGGUUGCUGGGCUGACACUGACGCUGAGGCGCGAAAGCCAGGGGAGCAAACGGGAUUAGAUACCCAAGUAGUCCCUGAGCGGGCUGGCAAGGCGCAU
rnacentral:rRNA from 1 species